rnacentral:rRNA from 1 species
UACGUAGGAGGCGAGCGUUGUCCGGAGUUACUGGGCGUAAAGGGUGCGCAGGCGGCUGUUUACGUUUGCCGUGAAAUCUCCUGGCUUACCUGGGAGGGUGCGGUGAAAACGGGACGGCUUGAGGCUCGGGGAGGGGCGUGGAAUUCCGGGUGGAGCGGUGAAAUGCGUAGAGAUCCGGAGGAACACCAAAGGCGAAGGCAGUGUCCUGGGGAGUACCUGACGCUCAGGUGCGAAAGCCAGGGGAGCGAACGGG